rnacentral:rRNA from 1 species
UACAGGGGGUGCAAACGUUGCUCGGAAUCAUUGGGCGUAAAGCGCACGUAGGCGGUUUGUUAUGUCGGAUGUGAAAGCCCUCGGCUCAACUGAGGAAGUGCAUCCGAAACUGGCAGGCUAGAGUACUAAAGAGGGUCGCGGAAUUCCCGGUGUAGAGGUGAAAUUCGUAGAUAUCGGGAGGAACACCGGUGGCGAAGGCGGCGACCUGGGUAGAUACUGACGCUGAGGUGCGAAAGCGUGGGGAGCAAACAGG